rnacentral:lncRNA from 1 species
AGGUACAGGGGACCCAGAAUGAAUACAAAGUGCUUCUCCAGGAAGUGCCAGUUCCAGCCGAGUGAAGUUAUCAGCACACAGUAGCCCCUCGGACGAGUACAGACGUGUCUUCAGUGCCAAGGACAGGCGAUCUAAGCGACUGCUGGACACCUGGUCCCUCCACUUCACAGCCAGCUUCAACCGCAGAGCGUGUACAAGCAAGGACAGGGAUGCCGGCGUUUGGAGAGGAGCACAGACUGCUUUCUUGGAAGGCGGGGGCCGGGCGGACGGGAAGGGGACGUGUUUUCAGUUGCAAUUUCCAUCCUGAAGAUUUAGGAAGGAGCUGAUAGGGUCUGGGACGCCUCCUUAAUGCAUGCAGUUCUUGUAUGGGACGCUAAGAAUUCGGAGUUCCUAACCAGACGUCGAGAACCGACGUCUGAG